CUUUCCAACCUGGCUGUCUCAAAGGGAACCAGAUUAUGCAAGGCUUUGUGUUCCAGCUUAGGCUAAACCAAGAACAACUUUAUCCUAAGGUCAAGAGGAAAUAUUUGAUAGGUUCUAAAGAAGGGAGGAGGAAACUGAGACCCAGGCAGAAGAAUUUGUUCUUCAAACUGCGAAAGCAGAGCUACCCCAAUUCAUCCACACACAUAGUAUUUCAGAGAAAAAAAGAAAACCCUAUGAUGGCAAGCAGUCAUAAGGAUGAAUGAGUGGCUUGAUCUCGGCUCAUUGCAACCUUCGCCUCCUGGGUUCAAGCAAUUCUACCUGCCUAGCCUCCCGAGUAGCUGGGAUUACAGGCACCCUGCAUCACAACGGCAUCACGCAUUCGAAUUUAGUAUUUUAGAGUGAUCUUAAUAGGUUUUCUACCAGGUGAACUACGUGGUCAUGGAAGCACUGUUGAUGGUGUGGCACUACUGCCUGUUCUUCAAAGGAAGUCAGGGACCCCCAAAUGGAGAGACCAGCUGGAGCCGAGGCAGAAGAACAUAAAUUGUGAAGAUUUCAUGGGCAUUUAUCUGU
rnacentral:lncRNA from 1 species